GACGAACGCUGGCGGCGUGCUUAACACAUGCAAGUCGAACGGAAAGGCGCUGCUUUUGUGGGGCUCUCGAGUGGCGAACGGGGGAGUAACACGUGAGUAACCUGCCCUUGUCUUUCUGAUAACUUCACGUAACUCGGGCUAAUAUCGCAUAUGAGCUCCUGCUGCAUGUUGGUCGUUGGUAAGUUUCGGCGGUUGGGGAUCGACUCGCGGCUUAUCAGCUUGUUAGUGGGGUAGUUGCUUACCAAGCCUUUGACGGGUAGGCGGCCUGAGAGGGUGACCGGGCACAUUGGGCCUGAGAUACGCACCAGUAUCGAACGGGAGGCAAUAGUGGAGAGUAGUACCAAAUAACCCGACGCGUGAUGUAGCAACGCCGCGUGCGGGAUGAGGGGCUGCGGGUGGUAAACCGCUUUCGCCUGUGCCGAAGCGUGAGUGACGGUAAUGGGUAAGGAAGCACCGGCUAACUACGUG
rnacentral:rRNA from 1 species